UUGUAAGAGGGGCAGGGUGCCGCAGUCCUGCCUCACGGUCGCAGCGAUGAGAAGCUGAAACAUCGCAGAAGAGUCGAAUUGCUACCUUGGACGAGCAGUGUCGAGUGGGAGGUGCGGGCAGGUCAGAGGACCAGGCACCCGAUGGGGAGAAGGUGACUGGGGGCGGCAUCAUAAAGGUCCACAAAGACAGAUCAAUGGCGAUGAGCCCCUCUGGAGGGCCGGAGGGUCCGGAGGAAGCCCAAGUCCCACAGCUCAUCAGUAGCAAGGUCUGAUCAGAACGUCUGCAGACCCCGGUGUGAUGUGCUGCCCUGACCUCUGUCCUAGGACCCCCCCUCCCCUAGAGCUCUGCCCUAGAGCUGAACAAUGAAGGCAGCGGGGCCGUACCGUGGUGUAAGAAUAAGCUUGGAGUCGGGAAAAGGAAACAAGACCACGGGGUCCCACCUCUGCGAUGCCUCGAGGGUGAGCUCUCAGGGGGAUGGUGACGGUUCCGUGAUUCUCUGGGGCUUCUGCACGCUGAAUCUGGAGAGAAGCGUGGCUGAAGCACGUGAUAGAACAGGCCAUGGUAUCGCACAGAAACUUCCACCGUGGGGAGUCAAAAACAUCUACUGCAGACCCCAGGCUGCUUGCAGCAGGAGUUGGGGCGGAUCAGGCCGCGUAAGGAACUGGCAACGAGGUGCUUGGUAUCCUCAGGCCGCCCCGCCUUCAAGCCUGGGGAUUUACCGGGCGCUUCUCUCGGCAGCGUGAUUUGGGGCACUCAUGAGCCUGCAGGUGUCUCAGGGCUCUGGACCUUUAUCCUUCAGGUGACCAUAGCUUUCAGCCUGCCAGGCGGCCGCAAGGAACCACUGCUGUGUAGAAAGUUCCCAGCACAAUGCCUGGCUUCGUGUGGCACCCAACAAAUGGACCCUUUGUCCCUUCCGGGGAGCACUCUGGAAUGGAGCGGCGAAAAGGAGCUGCGGGACGGAGAACAAUUCUCAGCCCACCUUUCUCGCCUGCUUACGUGUGUGGCUGCACGAGCUGCGUCCGAGAUUCUGCCACAUGCCGGCUGCACGAAGAUGUAGGAGACGGAGGCAGAGCGUGAGCGGAGGAGGGGCAGAAAGAGAGGGAGC